UGGGGAAUAUUGCACAAUGGGCGCAAGCCUGAUGCAGCCAUGCCGCGUGUAUGAAGAAGGCCUUCGGGUUGUAAAGUACUUUCAGCGGGGAGGAAGGGAGUAAAGUUAAUACCUUUGCUCAUUGACGUUACCCGCAGAAGAAGCACCGGCUAACUCCGUGCCAGCAGCCGCGGUAAUACGGAGGGUGCAAGCGUUAAUCGGAAUUACUGGGCGUAAAGCGCACGCAGGCGGUUUGUUAAGUCAGAUGUGAAAUCCUCGGGCUCAACCUGGGAACUGCAUCUGCUACUGGCAAGCUUGAGUCUCGUAGAGGGGGGUAGAAUUCCAGGUGUAGCGGUGAAAUGCGUAGAGAUCUGGAGGAAUACCGGUGGCGAAGGCGGCCCCCUGGACGAAGACUGACGAUCAGGUGCGAAAGCGUGGGGAGCAAACAGG
rnacentral:rRNA from 1 species